rnacentral:rRNA from 1 species
UACGGAGGGGGCUAGCGUUGUUCGGAAUCACUGGGCGUAAAGCGUACGUAGGCGGCUUGUCAAGUCAGGGGUGAAAGCCUGGGGCUCAACCUCAGAACUGCCCUUGAAACUGGCUAGCUUGAACAUAGGAGAGGUGAGUGGAAUUCCGAGUGUAGAGGUGAAAUUCGUAGAUAUUCGGAGGAACACCAGUGGCGAAGGCGACUCACUGGACUAUUGUUGACGCUGAGGUACGAAAGCGUGGGGAGCAAACAGG